rnacentral:lncRNA from 1 species
UGGUGUUCAUGAAGGUUAAAGAAAACUUUGAAGAGAUCAAUGAUGCUGUUGUCCAGGACCAGGAGGUUUAGGUGACUUUUUACGAGCUGGCGGCGACACACUCUCUGAGACAUCAAUUUUUAAACUGGCAGGUACUCCUUCCCCUUGAUAAUUGUAGAAAAUAAAAUGAAUUGAAUAAUGAAAUCUGUUUACAAGUGAUAAUAAUAUUAUAUAGAGUUCAACAAGAAGGUCACUUACUGAGCAAGGUUCGGCUCAUUGUUGUGUUGCUGAAGGCAGAGAGUAAGAGAAGAAUCAAAGCGACUAAUGAUAAAGCCAGACGAUUCAUUAUUUUCUUUUGGUUGAGUAUUACUCCA